UACGGGGGGGGCAAGCGUUGUUCGGAAUUACUGGGCGUAAAGGGCUCGUAGGUGGCCAACUAAGUCGGACGUGAAAUCCCUCGGCUUAACCGGGGAACUGCGUCUGAUACUGGAUGGCUUGAGUUCGGGAGAGGGAUGUGGAAUUCCAGGUGUAGCGGUGAAAUGCGUAGAUAUCUGGAGGAACACCGGUGGCGAAGGCGGCAUCCUGGACCGACACUGACGCUGAGGAGCGAAAGCCAGGGGAGCAAACGGG
rnacentral:rRNA from 1 species